rnacentral:rRNA from 1 species
CACUCCUGCGGGAGGCAGCAGUGGGGAAUUUUGGACAAUGGGCGAAAGCCUGAUCCAGCAAUGCCGCGUGAGUGAAGAAGGCCUUCGGGUUGUAAAGCUCUUUUGUCAGGGAAGAAACGGUGAAAGCUAAUAUCUUUUGCUAAUGACGGUACCUGAAGAAUAAGCACCGGCUAACUACGUGCCAGCAGCCGCGGUAAUACGUAGGGUGCAAGCGUUAAUCGGAAUUACUGGGCGUAAAGCGUGCGCAGGCGGUUUUGUAAGUCUGAUGUGAAAUCCCCGGGCUCAACCUGGGAAUUGCAUUGGAGACUGCAAGGCUAGAAUCUGGCAGAGGGGGGUAGAAUUCCACGUGUAGCAGUGAAAUGCGUAGAUAUGUGGAGGAACACCGAUGGCGAAGGCAGCCCCCUGGGUCAAGAUUGACGCUCAUGCACGAAAGCGUGGGGAGCAAACAGGAUUAGAAACCCCGGUAGUCCCAU